rfam:Saccharomyces cerevisiae Lalvin QA23 chromosome V QA23_c5_29, whole genome shotgun sequence.
UAAUGCCUUUGUUUGGCCAAGCUAUGUGCAAAUAUCACAAAUUAAAAAUUUGGUUAAGCAGUUAGGCUGGACCUAAUAUUUUAGAAAAACCUAAUUUUUUUUUGUGGACCCAUUUUCGAUAUUUACUCACAAAUGGAAUUCAAGGGGAACAACUUCGGUCUCAGCACUUUAAUUAUUCUUCUCGUUCCCACCUAAUUUCGCAAUUUAUUGUCCUUGACUUCUACCACGAGAAAAAAAUUAAGAAAAUGCAACGCUGCCCGUGCAGGGUUUUCUGAGCGGGAUGAAAAAAUCAGACAAAUAUCCAAGUUAUGAGUAAUUACUUUGUUGGAAGGAGGGAGCAGAGCAUAAGGAAAUUCUUAAAACUGUUAUGUAUAUAAAGGAAGAACCAUUUCUAGUUAUUUCACUUUUUGAUACUUGUCAACUAUCUUAGUAAAAAUACAGAACUCUAUAAAGAACCACAGAAAAAUCGACAGCAAUGACAAGCAUUGACAUUAACAACUUACAAAAUACCUUUCAACAAGCUAUGAAUAUGAGCGGCUCCCCAGGCGCUGU